CCCAGACUCCUACGGGAGGCAGCAGUGGGGAAUAUUGCACAAUGGGGGGAACCCUGAUGCAGCGACGCCGCGUGGGUGAAGGAGCACCUCGGUGCGUAAAGCCCUAUCGGCAGGGAAGAAACAGACGGUACCUGACUAAGAAGCCCCGGCUAACUACGUGCCAGCAGCCGCGGUAAUACGUAGGGGGCAAGCGUUAUCCGGAUUCACUGGGUGUAAAGGGAGCGUAGACGGCGACGCAAGUCUGGAGUGAAAGCCCGGGGCCCAACCCCGGGACUGCUCUGGAAACUGCGGCGCUGGAGUACGGGAGGGGCAGGCGGAAUUCCUGGUGUAGCGGUGAAAUACGUAGAUAUCAGGAGGAACACCGGUGGCGAAGGCGGCCUGCUGGACUGCGACUGACGUUGAGGCCCGAAAGCGUGGGGAGCAGACAGGAUUAGAUACCCUCGUA
rnacentral:rRNA from 1 species